rnacentral:rRNA from 1 species
GACGAACGCUGGCGGCGUGCUUAACACAUGCAAGUCGAACGGAAAGGCCCUGCUUUUGUGGGGUGCUCGAGUGGCGAACGGGUGAGUAACACGUGAGUAACCUGCCCUUGACUUUGGGAUAACUUCAGGAAACUGGGGCUAAUACCGGAUAGGAGCUCCUGCUGCAUGGUGGGGGUUGGAAAGUUUCGGCGGUUGGGGAUGGACUCGCGGCUUAUCAGCUUGUUGGUGGGGUAGUGGCUUACCAAGGCUUUGACGGGUAGCCGGCCUGAGAGGGUGACCGGCCACAUUGGGACUGAGAUACGGCCCAGACUACAACGGGAGGCAGCAGUGGGGAAUAGUGCACAAUGGGCGGAAGCCUGAUGCAGCAACGCCGCGUGCGGGAUGACGGCCUUCGGGUUGUAAACCGCUUUCGCCUGUGACGAAGCGUGAGUGACGGUAAUGGGUAAAGAAGCACCGGCUAACUACGUG